UACGUAGGGUGCAAGCGUUAAUCGGAAUUACUGGGCGUAAAGCGUGCGCAGGCGGUUUUGUAAGUCUGUCGUGAAAUCCCCGGGCUCAACCUGGGAAUGGCGAUGGAGACUGCAAGGCUAGAGUUUGGCAGAGGGGGGUAGAAUUCCACGUGUAGCAGUGAAAUGCGUAGAUAUGUGGAGGAACACCGAUGGCGAAGGCAGCCCCCUGGGUCAAAAACUGACGCUCAU
rnacentral:rRNA from 1 species